rnacentral:lncRNA from 1 species
UCAUACAGUAAGCUCCCCAGUGAGGAGCAGCAGGCUAGAGACGCGAUCUCCAGGCCGACCUCUCCUCCCUUCACUUCAUUAAAAUCUACUCCUCC